ensembl:lncRNA
AGGCAGGCCUGGGGCAGUGGCCCAGUAAUGAGAACAUGCAGAAACCCUGCUGGAUGGCCACGCCACUCUGAGAGAUGUCUACCCUCUCCACACUGCUGUUGGGUAAGGUGAUCGUGAGACUGAACUCAGUCGUGCAUGAGCUCAAAUAUGGUCAGAAUUCGACACCAACGGGGGCAAGGUCCACAUCAACGGGAAGAACGAUUCCUCCAUCCUGGAUGAGUACUCAGGGAUAACAGCCUCUGAGUGAGGGGUUGUGCUGCCCUCGCCUGUAAUAUGAAACAGGUUUCCUCAGAUAGAGUUGGUGCCUCAAACUGUUCAUUUAGUCACUGAGGUGGACUGACUGGAGCUACCAUCAAUUGAGGAGAAUAUCCUAAGCUGUGAAGACAGGCCUGGCAUUUCCUCCAAGUCUCUGUCCACAGGUUUGAGUGCUGUGUGGAAGAUACUAGCCCUAUAGAAAAAUAUUACAGCCUGCACCCAAACAUAGGAACUACUGAUGCUCUUCCAAAGACUACAGGCAGGUCUCCAUUGCCCCAUAUUGUCUGAGAAAACACACCCCUUUGAACAUGCAGUUCAUAGAUACUCACCCUAGUAGGCCUCAAGGGUUUUGUUCCCUGAACCUGACAUUUGAUGCCCUCUCCACCAAGCUCCAAAGAAGCAGAGGAGCCCACCCAGGGCUCACCAGCCUGCCUUGGAGUCAGUUCCUGCUUGUAGGUUACUUGCAACCCGGACUUCCCAAGCUCUCUCUGCCUCACAGGCUAAAUUCCUGCCCGGGAUUGUUCAUCUCUAAUGUCAAGAGAAUGGUUUUGGUGCAUUGUGUUCUGGAGGCGCUGGCGAAGUCUCACCUUUCACAGCCCCUAUAGGCUGAUGCUCCAGUAUAGGUAAACUGGGGUUUGAAUGCACGUAGAGCACCGUGGCAGAAGAAAAAUCCCCUGGAGCGGCAGAGCCGGUCCUGAUGUUGCUAACAGCAUCCCCUUUCCGGUCAAAAGCACAUCAUCUUGAUCCCCUCUUCUAACUCCAUCCACACUGUCUCAUUUCUUUAUAUUCGGUGCACAACCCAGAGCACCAAGGGCUUAACUGGCCACAGCCUCAGCAUCUAGCCUGUAGUCCUGAUCCCAACCUGAACAGUGUCCUCCAUGGUUACCCAUCCCUGCUUCUCUGCAGACAUUGCUGCCCUGCUGUCUUCUCAGAAAACAUAACCGAGGUUGGAGACCUUCUCACUGAAGCUUUCUACACUGCAUACGUGGACACUCAUAUCUGAACUCCUCUCUUCCUUUAAGGGCACUCGACAAGACAAGAACUUGCAAGCGUCUAGCCAGCAGCCCUUCCUGGGAGUGGAUAGCUGCUCUCUGAGGCUCCAGUUCACAGAACCCCCGGGGCCAUCCAACCCUACCUAUCUUGUGUGAAAACCCCCCCUCCCCCGUUUUGCCUUUACACUGUAAGAUGAGUCCUCCAAGGCCUCCCCACUCCCCCAGGGCCUCCUCUUUCCUUAGUACCACCACUGCCCCAGGACGGACUCAUAGGAUCACUGUGUGACAGAGCCCCCUCCCCCUACACACCCCUCAGAAAGUGAGUCCUGUCCACAGUCCACGGCUGGUGCAUAGAUUCCCCUUCCCCAUCUCGUAUUUUCACACAACCUCUCUAUUGAAGACACUUUGAACUUGCCCUCUAUGGGCAAAGCAGGUGCCGCUGAGUCUAGCUGUGCCCUAAAGCCAAGCUCUCUGGGAUAAGAAACCAGUGAUGGCCAUGCUGGACCAAGGUAAGGAACCUCGGCACCUACUCUCCUGUGCUACCCUCAGUCCAGAGGGAAGCAAAACGUGUGUAGGGUUAUUUGUACCCACAAGCUUAGCCCCCUGUACGUAGCCCUUUUAGAGGCCAAUCACUCUUAUUCCUGCUGAGCUGUUGUAAUGGCAGGGCUUGCCAGUACUGAACGUGUCCUAUAGCCAAGACCUCCUGCAGCACCAAAACACUGGAGCUAAAGUAGAGCAGACCAUGAGUGGCUAAAAGGAAUCAGCCUGAUGUCUCUUGUGGACCUGUGGAGUGGGGCCAGGCAUUCUCCCGGCUUCCUUUGCAAGUUGCUGGCUGUCGAAUCUCAAAGGCAUCCCUUGAUUUUGUGACUGACGGUUGUUCUCACUCGGCAAGUCCAAGGCUGACUGGUUACCAAGGAGACAAAAUGUUUACUAUCUGGCCCUCUAUAGAAAAGGUUGGCCACCGCUCAUGAGGAUCCCUGGCUUUGCUACCAGAACAAAAACCGCCCGCCUGCAGACCUCCAGGCCGGUGAUCCCACACUAACCUAAGAGGGUGAAGGAUGUGCAUCCUGUCCUCAGAAAGAGCAGAGUCCCCGCUCGUGGGCAGCCGACAUGACAGACAGAUGCUCCCCAUGGACCUUCAACUGCCCCUGGCAGAAGGGGGCACUAAGGUGGUGCCUAGUCUUCACUCCUUCGCUGGCACUUUUUAAAAAUACAUGGCCCAGCUCCUCUCCUGGGCUUCUCGCUCGCUGCUGGCUGCCUCAGUAUCUCAGCCCACACUGGCCCAAAGCAGAAAAGAAAACUGCACUUAACAAACAGCACCCGCCUUCAACCCACAGGAAGGACUGCACCAUGCCGUUCACUGACGGCACAAAGCUACCUUUACUCCAGCUGUUCAACAAAGACCCCAGAGCACUGAUCAUCCGGCGGCCCUGCUCUGAUAGUCCAGAGCAGACCAAAGCCUCCUCAGGUCUUAAUUGCCUUACACCGCUCAAAUCUUAUCACAGCUAGGAUGCAACUCAGUGACAGAGUCUUCCCCCAGAUCCUACGUCAGCCCCAAGCCUGCAGGUAGCCAGGAUCCCUCCACCCUGCUCGGACAUCUCCGUAGGCAAGUAGCAAACCAGGUGUUGCAGCUGCCAAGACCACCUGAGUGGUCUGGCUGGCAGGCACUGACUCUGGUGACGGGGCCAGGAUGCUAUAGGCAGCUAGUGGAAUCUGACCAGCGCUCACUGGGAUUUCCAGAUUCUUGCUUCCUGUGAAAGAAAAUUGGACAGGGACCAUUGACUAGUAAUGGAAGCACAGGUGGUUUAUUAAGGAAGAAAGCAUUCCAGGGGAAGAAGUGGGCCAGAGUUUGAAGAAAGGUCAGAAGCUCAAUGGCGCCAGUGCCUAGGGGUCACUUGUACAGUAGAGCUCAUUGUAUGUCUGCUAUGAGUUGACCUGGGAGGGAUUGGGUCCAAGACUUUUCUGCCAAUUGGUUUCUUUCAUAUGCUAAUGCUGACUACCCCCACCCCUACUCUCCUGACACAAUCACUGCUGUCACUAAGGGCUGGCGAUGACCUUUUCCGGGUUCCAGGUCACGAGGCUCAUGCCAGUAGUUCUGCAUGCAUAUCAGCAGCAGACUAGAUCGAGCUUUCUCCUGACUGCAGGUGCAGCUUCCCUGCCUUUUUUUUCUUUUCUUUUUAGUGAUGUGAUGAGCAUUUGGGUGAUUUUAGUCCCCUAUUUGGACUGACAAUGUCACAAAGACAAAGGAACCGGGGACCUGCAGUUCCAUGGGCACUUAAGUGGGCAGUGUUUGACACUAUUUCUCAGAGGUGGUGCCCGGGCUUGAACCCACCAAGCCCGAUCCCUGGGUUGGUCCGGAACCCUGGAAAGCAAAUGCCUUCUCUACCCCCAUCACCUAGGCCUAUCCAAAGACCUACCACCAUGUUCAAUCGGAGAGAUGGUGGGACCUGCAAUCCUCUCUGAUCCACAGCAGUCCCUUGCAGAGGGGGGCACGCCUCAGGACCAGUGCCAGGAGGUGACUGGGCCCCAUCCCCCAGCAAUGGCCCUGGCCUGACCACUCUCAGUUCUCAUCCUGGUGUGGCCACCACAGUGAGUCCAGGUAAUAAGGUCAAGUCCUAAAAUUUUCUUGGCUCCUACCCAAGGGAACAGAUUAGAUAGGUGUAAGGCAGGAAGUUUGUCCUCUCUCUCUGGAUAUGAGCAGCUGGGCAGAGGUUGGGGGUGGGGUGGGUCAGGAGCCUCCUGAUCAGGCACAAUGGAUUGGCCCCUAGCGGCCCAGGCAUGGCGGGGGAGCCAGAAGUAAGAACUGCUCAGGCUGGUCACUUUCUGCUCACAGAACUACUGAACCCAAACCAGAGGCUGCCCCCAGGGACCCUUGCUCAGUGGGUGUAGUGCUUAGCACCAUCUGAGGCCACUGGGUGAGCAGCAUUCUCGAGAGGUAGCCUCAUCCAUGAACAGUAUUCAUAUUCCUAUGGGGCUUCCGUCCCCCCAGGGCCGGGAUGGGCUGCAGAGGCACAGCCUCCCCGGCCCCACCCCAGGUGCCCCUGUGCAGCUGAGGGUAGAACAGGCUCUUAGAGACUUUCGCUAAAUAGCACGGGAUUCCUCACUUGGGCCCAGAAAGCAGCAAGGCCCAGGAUGAGACCUUGGCAUCUCUGUCUUAAAUCUCCCACCUUCAAGAUUGAAAGCUCAGUCAUAUUCAUUGCCCUAAAACCCGAUUCCAAGAUCAGCAAAGCCUCCCUGGACAGGCCGCUUCCCUAGAGGAGAGCAACGAUGUAGGAGGAUGAGGCCGUACCUUGGCCAGGACCACCUCGUCACACACAGCUCUCCCCCACCCUAAUCCUCUGUUUUAACCUAAAGCUCAUGUCAGUAUUGCAAAGAUCACUUGGGAGGUCGUUGUACCUGUUCCUCUUUCGACCGUGGCCACACCAAUUAAAUAUGCUACUUUAUACCACUGCCUGUUUGUUUCAUUCGUACUAGUGAUGAUAGUGGGCAGCAGGUCUGGUGUGCACCUCUGGAGAGGUUCUAGGCUCUUGUAUCCCAGAACAAGGACUUGGACAGAGUUAUAGGGAUACUAAGAAACUGUAUUGUAAGAAGAAUGCAUCUCCAAGGGAGGAAGUGAAUUGUAGCAGGG